GGCCGUAUGUCCAAAUUGGUAAAGGAGACAGACUUAAAAUCUGUUGGUGAUAUUCACCUUCUCGAUUCGAGUUCGAGUGCGGCUA
rfam:Klebsiella phage K64-1 DNA, complete genome.